rnacentral:lncRNA from 1 species
ACUGUGUACUACGGAGAAUACAAAUGCACGGGGAAAGGCGCGACUCCUGCUACACGAGAGAAAUUCGUCAAACAACUAUCGGAUGCGGAAGCUAAACCAUUCUUGGUUCUUGACUACGUUGAAGGUACCAAAUGGUUGCUUCCCCCUCCGACAGUACCUAAAUAAUUCAUUCAUUCCCAACUUUUUCAUGCCGGCAACAUAUCCUCACAGUAUUGCUAAUUCAAGCAGACUCUCGUCUACCUCUUUGCUGGGUGGAAAUAACUAGCCAUCCAUUUUAUUUUAUUUAUUUUAUUUUCCCUUCCCAUGGCUUGUAUUUUAACAAAUAGCCAAAUGUCAAUAAGAAGCAGAAUUUAGUCUUAUUUUUAUUAAUAGUUAGGAUGUUGAUAUUUGCCAUUAUGUAGAAAAUUUCCAUCAUAUCAAGUUAAAAUUAUGUAAUAAUAUCCAUCAUAUAUCCAAGUUCAUUGAUUCAAUAAGUCAAGGUGAUUUCACAAACUUUUGCAUUUUAGCAAAUAAAUGGACCAUUACUGUAUAUUUGUGUAACAGCUCGUUUUCAGUAGUGUCAGAAAUAGUGGAUUUGGGACCACGAUUUUGACAAGCAGUCAGCAUUUUAAUUAAUUUUUCUUUGAUAAAAUUAUUUUAAUUAUUUAUUUAGUAUUUGCUGGGUUCAUGCCCCCCUUAAUGACUUCCUAGGGUUUAGGUUCUUCCUUUCCCAAACAGUUGAUCCGUUGAGUAGCCCUAUAAAACAGUUAACAAAUCAUACCUCCACUCGCUAAUCCCCCAUAGAGGGAUCAGUUCCUCAUGGUUUUCAUAGAUAAUAUGGAAUUGAGUUAAAGAUAGAACAUGAUAAUUGAAUUGAGGUGUAGAGUUUAAAAAAGUACCUGAUUUGUAGUAAAGAUGAAUAUGAAUUCACAAAGUUUGAUCGUCUUUACACAUCAGAUCUCUCGAGAUAAAGCAAGAACAACUUGAAAAUAAUUCUAAAAACCUAAAAGAAAGAAUAUCUGAACUGGAAUUAAAAGAAAAAAAAACUAUACUAAGUAAUUGAUGUCCGUAACAUGUGAAAAAAGAUCCUAUUUAUAGAUUUCAGGUGGCCUUCGUCGUCAAACCUAGGUUAGUUGAAGUUCUAGAGCUUUAAGUUUGAUUAUGCAAACCAAAACGCCCUCUGGCUCGUGUUAGUUUCCGUCCAGAGUCGAUGUCGCGAUACAUCAGGACCUGUGUCGCAACAAAGGAUUCUAUACACUCCUCUUGGGAUAUCUUUAGGGGUAUGUCGCAACACCCUUAUAUUGUGUCGCAACAUCGAAAGCAGUUUCGUGAUUUCUUUAUCCUGCUCCCUAAGUUGCUACAUUGAUCAUUUUGUGUUGAGACAUAGUGACCAGCAUCUGUUAAUUACUCCUUCUAAUGCUCUCCUGCACACUUACACAGUUCAUUAGCUUCCCCUUAAACCUCUUCCAGCCCCUAAGGUUAAUAAAAGGCUCAAUUUGUACAUCACAUUACAUUUAAGAAGAGUUGCAAGAACAUAAUUAAAAUCUAACGAAAAUGCUUGCUUUCAACCUCCUAAAGUGCGGAAAUUAGUUUAAUCUACUACACGGAAUUACGGUAUGUCAAGUACACGACUUCAUGCUCGAAUCCACGAUUUAUAAUGUUAUUUAUAGCCCUUUUCACAUAAUUUUGGCUUUUUUUUAAUAGCUAAAUCAAGUCAUUUUGUAAUAAUAUAUGUUUUUACAGGUUAAACAGUUAACUUAGUUUUUUUUAAUAUUUUUAUUGUAUUUGAUAGCUAAAAAAAGGUUAUGUGGUUGAUGUCGUGACCACAAAGUAUGGAAGUAAUAUAAAUAUUAACUUUGUUAAUUACCAUUUGAUUCUUUUUUAGUAAUAUAAAUACUUGCUUAAUUUAAAUCUGUUCCUAUAAUAUACUUUAAGAUGUAUUCCCUAUGUUUUAUAUAAUCACAACUUGUGUGAAAUUGCCGUAUAAAAUUUAUAUUUUUAUUUAGAAACUUAGUACGUUAUAGAUAUUUUAUGUUCGGUAUUGUGUUUCGUAGAUUCUAUCAACAAAUUUUUUCGACCUUUCACGAAUGAAAGAAAAGGAAACAUAAAACUUAAUUGGCAAUUUCCAAUUAGAAUCAAACUUUUCCUCAUUUAUAUAAACCUAAUAGAUAAUUAAUUUAGUAAUAAAUUCAAAAUAAACAAGUAAGUAUUAACGGGGCAACAAAUGAAGGCAACAACAUAAAAUAUUUCCAUUCCUUACAUUAAAUUCACCCGGUUUAGGUUUUGCACUUAGGAUUAUUGUUCAAUGAUCAUGGGUGUCUGUAGUCCAAAUUUUGUGUAUUUGGCAACAAUUAUAUUCAAUUUAUACUCAUUAAUAGCGAUCAACUGCCAAAUGCUCGGUCUGAACUGUAGCAAUGCUUGCACCAAGAACUACGCAAAUGAGUGGCAAUGCGAGGAAUCCUCCAAGGCUCAUUUGUUUUAAUAUUUUUUUUGUCACCAAUUUAUCUUAUAAAUUGGAGUCACUUAGAAUUCAAAGACAACCUCAAUAAUCAAUAAACGAAGAAAAUAAACAAAUUACUCUUUUUAUUAAAAGGAAAGAAGGAGGAGGAGGAAAUGGAUGGAAAAAGAAUCGAGGGCAAUGAAGUUUAUGCUCUAGCAAUGUGUGUAAGUAUUCUCCUCUUUGCUCCGAUUGUUGUGUCACAACCAAUACCGGCAGAUAAAUCCCAAGUGGAAGCUUGGUUUAAUGGCAUUAUCAAGCCGGUGAAGGAAAGGGGUACAACCUUAGACCCUGAAUUGGUUCAAGCCGAGACAGAACCUAGAAUCAUAAAGGUGAUGCAAGGUGGGGGUGGAGAAUUCGAUACCAUAACCAAAGCCAUCGAGAGCGUUCCAUCAGGGAACGCCAAACGCGUGAUCAUAUCCAUCGGACCUGGAUCUUACAAAGAGAAAAUUAGAAUUGAAAGAAAUAAGCCUUUCAUUACAUUGUUAGGAGAUCCUAAAAACAUGCCAAAUUUGACAUUUGACGGCACCGCCAAGCAAUAUGGAACCGUAGAUAGUGCCACUCUUAUUACUGAGAGUAAUUACUUUGUGGGUGCUAAUCUCAAUAUAGUGGUAAGUUAAUGUAGAGUUUAGACAACCAUGAUCUGUCCUUUAUUGAAUUGAUUAUUAAAGGGAUUUUUUUUUAUGGUGGCAUGUUAUGCAUAUAGAACUCUGCUCCAAGGCCAGACGGUAAAAUGGUAGGAGCACAGGCGGUUGCUCUGAGAGUCUCCGGCGACAGGUCGGCUUUCUAUAACUGCAAGAUCAUUGGCUUCCAGGACACUUUGUGCGAUGACAGGGGCAACCAUUUCUUUAAGGAUUGCCAUAUUCGUGGCACUGUUGAUUUCAUUUUCGGAAGCGGGACAUCUUUAUAUCUGGUAUUCAUAUUCCCAAUGCGUGAAAUAUGAUGUAUUAUACCCCCAUAUAUACAUUUGACAAGAAAAGUGGGAUGCAGAACACGGAAAUAUUCGUGGUAGGAGAUCCAGAAGGAGAUCCGGAAAUGGCAAUAAUUACAGCACAUGCGCGAGAAAGUUCAUCGGAGGACACGGGUUAUUCGUUCGUGCAUGGCAGAAUUACAGGAACAGCGAAGGACGUAUUUUUGGGCAGGGCCUGGAAGAGCAGUCCGAGGGUUGUUUAUUCUUAUACUGAAAUGGACGAAAUCGUCCAUCCUGGUGGAUGGUCUAGUAAUCGCCAACCUGAACGAGCCGAGUAAGAUAAUACUCAGCCUUACAACGUUACAUGCCUACAAGUAAACUAAUCUUUCCCAACUUAUUGAUAAAUUUAUUAAGAUAUAUAAUGUGAGAAUGGUUUGACACGCAGCACUGUGUACUACGGAGAAUACAAAUGCACGGGGAAAGGCGCGACUCCUGCUACACGAGAGAAAUUCGUCAAACAACUAUCGGAUGCGGAAGCUAAACCAUUCUUGGUUCUUGACUACGUUGAAGGUACCAAAUGGUUGCUUCCCCCUCCGACAGUACCUAAAUAAUUCAUUCAUUCCCAACUUUUUCAUGCCGGCAACAUAUCCUCACAGUAUUGCUAAUUCAAGCAGACUCUCGUCUACCUCUUUGCUGGGUGGAAAUAACUAGCCAUCCAUUUUAUUUUAUUUAUUUUAUUUUCCCUUCCCAUGGCUUGUAUUUUAACAAAUAGCCAAAUGUCAAUAAGAAGCAGAAUUUAGUCUUAUUUUUAUUAAUAGUUAGGAUGUUGAUAUUUGCCAUUAUGUAGAAAAUUUCCAUCAUAUCAAGUUAAAAUUAUGUAAUAAUAUCCAUCAUAUAUCCAAGUUCAUUGAUUCAAUAAGUCAAGGUGAUUUCACAAACUUUUGCAUUUUAG